rnacentral:misc_RNA from 1 species
UAUCAAAGGAAACAGGAGAUAUCUAUUCAACAAAUGAGCCUCAAAUUGCGUUUAACUCGAGGAUUGCUUUCUGCCUUAAUAUGCAUAAUGAGGCAGUUCGCGCACUUAGGUUUCCGCCAAAUUCCCACAAGGAGAAAGAAAGUGCUGAGAAGAGAAGGGAGAGACAACAGCAAGAGCAGGAGCUUGCAAAGCACAUAGCCGAGGAGGAUGAUGAUGAGUUUUAAUUUGGCAUCUGACAAAAUGUUACCUCUUUUCGCCAUCUAAUGCUUUCUUGUCCAGCUGUGCAACUUUCUUUAAGAACUUCCCUACAAGAAUGUUUUGACCUUUUCUUUUGCUUCACUUUUAUGUUCUGAUUUUAGGAUUCUGUCUCAUAUUGAAGCAACCUCUGCUUGGGCUGCUCCCAUUGAAUUAUCAUUUUCCUUAUUAUUAUUUGAUUUUUCUGCAAUAUGUUGUUAAUUCCUUCCGUUUUAGAAUGCCUGUACUUUCAUUCCAGACCUGGGAUAUUAUAUUACAAUUUUAAAACGGAAGGAAUUAACAACAUAUUGCAGAAAAAUCAAAUAAUAAUAAGGAAAAUGAUAAUUCAAUGGGAGCAGCCCAAGCAGAGGUUGCUUCAAUAUGAGAC